AGAUGUGCUCCAGGACAAUGCUUUUGGUGACACUGUCUUGUUUUAUAGGUGACAUUGAUGAUAAAAAUCCAUUCAAGAAUUUAGAUGAGACAUCUGCAGCAGGUUCAAAUCCAUAAGACAAAACUGGAUACUUCAUAAGGAUUGUCAUCUAUUAUACACAGAGAGCCAAAAUGCGUAACUGAGAUUGUCUGGGUGAGAUGCCUGCUGGGUCCAGUGAUGCACUAGUAAACAAAGAAGUUGAAAAAGAAGGUUGGCAUAUUCUUUGGAUGACUGGCAGAGUGUGACACCAAUAUGGCAUCAAGCUCUACUGUGAUUCUAAGGACUUCAUGACUAAAUAAAAGUGAAUUUUCCCCCCUGUGUGUGGUGGUGGUUGUGGAAAUGAAUAUGAUCUUUACUCAGGAUUGGAGGCAAUUUACCACCAGUUGUCGAAACGUACAGCAUUGAAGAAGCUCCUUAUCUUGCUGAUUCUUGAUCACAUUCCCCUUGCUUCUACCUGGGAGGUAACCAGUAUUCUGCAUUAGGGCAACAAUCUACGAUCCUUCUCAUAAGGGAGUGGGUCCUACUUCGUGGGACAGACGAUUGCCCUCCAUGGUAGACAACCUUCA